rnacentral:lncRNA from 1 species
AUGCUGGUAGCUUCAAGAACACUGUCCAACUAUCUCGUCCUCUGUUGUCCCCUUCUCCUUGUGCCCUCAAUCUUUCCCAACAUCAGGGUCUUUUCCAAAGAUGGAGGGCACAAGGAGAAGGGGACGACAGAGGACGAGAUGGUUGGACAGUGUUCUCAAAGCUACCAGCAUGAGUUUGACCAAACUGCGGGAGGCAGUGGAAGACAGAAGUGCCUGGUGUGCUCUGGUCCAUGGGGUCAUGAAGAGUCGGACAUGACUAAACGACUAAACAACAACAAUAAACUGUAGUAAUAUAGUUUUAUGAUACAGUGGUGUGUAUCUGGACCCUGCAAAUUAAAUAUUUAAUAAAGAAGCACAGCUGGAAAAAUCCUCACCUGGCUUCAUUUGGGAUAAGCAAAACAUUAGAGGAGUGCAGCAGAGAAUGUCACACUUCAGACAGAGAGCAAACGUACUCUUUACAUACAUCUGACAAAUGUUUCAGUGUGGUCUCCAUUGCUUAAGCAUCUAUGACAACAGUCUUGUGCUCUCAAAUUUUCUUUCUCUGAAAACUGAAUGGUUUUAAAAUUCAUGUUGGACUAGACCCAUUCGAAACCGAAGGGCAACAAUUCUGUUCCUGAGGCAUGUGCCUACUGCAGUGUUCAAAGAAAAACAUUCUUGGUUCAAAGACUCAGUUUUAUAUUCUCGCCAACCUUACCUAGAGCAUCAUUAAGCUGAAGCAGAGGAAGAAUUCUCAUAAAAAGAAGAAAUAAAAACAAAAAGAAAUGAAAUUUUAAAGAGGAGAAUGAGCUAGUCCAGAUGUUCUCAUUUAUAAUGGAAAAAGGAGGAAAAGAAAGGACAUCUGAGAAGUGAACAGCAUUAAUGAUCACAGUUGUGGUUUUUCAGUAGGGUUGACUGAACACAGAAGCUGAUAUCUACAAACUUUGCAACUCUUCCAAGUUUGGAAAUGUAGAGAACAGCUACUAACUAUAUUAUUUGCUUGCCAACACUAGUAACUAUGAGCUAUAUGUCAAUAUUUGGAACACCAUCAUUCCUCAUGCCCAUAUGUGACUACAGGGCAGUUUGGCAAAGGAUACUACACAUAACCCGGAUAUUGAUUCAGACGGUACUCGUCAAAUAUUACCAUGAAAUAGAGCAGAUGGAGCACUGGAGGCAUGAAGCAAGUAUGAGGCCAUUCAGAUUUCUCUGAUGGGGUGGGGAAGAGAAAUGAAUGGA